GCCCUGACUGCUUAGUAGGGCACACUCUCGCACAAUGCGAGGGCUGGGGAAUGGUCAUCCUCGGCAAAUAUUCAUCGGAUGCCUGACCACAUCCGGCGCCU
rfam:Prevotella melaninogenica ATCC 25845 chromosome I, complete sequence.